rnacentral:rRNA from 1 species
GUGCACCAGGCGAGAAAACUUUACAAUGCGGGCAACCGCGAUAAGGGGACCUCGAGUGCUGGGUUACAAACCUGGCUGUUGGGCUGCCUAAAAAGCAGUCUAUAGCAAGGGCCGGGCAAGACCGGUGCCAGCCGCCGCGGUAACACCGGCGGCUCGAGUGGUAACCGCUAUUAUUGGGUCUAAAGGGUCUGUAGCCGGCCGACUAAGUCUCUUGGGAAAUCUGGCAUCUCAAGUGUCAGGCUGCCAGGGGAUACUGGUCGGCUUGGGACCGGGAGAGGUGAGAGGUACCUCGGGGGUAGGGGUGAAAUCUUGUAAUCCUCGAGGGACCACCAGUGGCGAAGGCGUCUCACCAGAACGGAUCCGACGGCAAGGGACGAAAGCUAGGGGCACGAACCGGAUUAGAUACCCGCGUAGUCC